rnacentral:tRNA from 1 species
GACGUCGUGGCGGAGUGGUUAACGCGUCAGACUCGAAAUCUGAUCUCUUCGGAGGCACAGGUUCGAAUCCUGUCGGCGUCG